CAAUAGCGUAUAUUAAAGUUGUUGCAGUUAAAAGCUCGUAGUUGGAUCUCGGGUCCAGGCCUGCGGUCCGCCUCGCGGCGGUUACUGCUCGUCCUGGCCUACCUGCCGGUGUGUCCCUUGGUGCUCUUGAUUGAGUGUCUCGGGCGGCCGGAACGUUUACUUGAAAAAUAGAGUGUUCAAAGCAGGCGUGUCGCCUGAAUAAUGGUGCAUGGAAUGAUGGAAUAGGACCUCGGUUCUAUUUUGUUGGUUUCUAGGACCGAAGUAAUGAUUAAUAGGGACAGUUGGGCAGGCUUAGUAUUUAAUUGUCAGAGGUGAAAUUCUUGGAUUUAUGAAAGACUAACUACUGCGAAAGCAUUUGCCAAGGAUGUUUUCAUUAAUCAAGAACGAAAGUU
rnacentral:rRNA from 1 species